UACGCAGGGGGCUAGCGUUGCUCGGAAUUACUGGGCGUAAAGAGCUCGUAGGCGGCUUGUCGCGUCGUCCGUGAAAACCUGCAGCUCAACUGCAGGCUUGCGGUCGAUACGGGCAGGCUAGAGUUCGGUAGGGGAGACUGGAAUUCCUGGUGUAGCGGUGAAAUGCGCAGAUAUCAGGAGGAACACCGGUGGCGAAGGCGGGUCUCUGGGCCGAUACUGACGCUGAGGAGCGAAAGCGUGGGGAGCGAACAGG
rnacentral:rRNA from 1 species